rnacentral:lncRNA from 1 species
UAUCUAAGCUUGCAUUUGACAUAUUUUUACCGCUACCCGAGAAAGGGCGUUCUUUGUAGUAUCUGAUGUAUGUGCUUUGUUGUAGACUUUGCAGAACGAAACUUCCCUGCUAGCAGAGUCCAGCUGAGCAGAGUCUCUCCUUGGCGAUUCUUGGCAGAAAAAUUUCUCUCUGCCAAGAACCGUCGACGAGGGAGACAUUACAUUACGGCCGCACCAGAGGUAUAAAUACCAUCGACUGUCUCUCGUUUUCUCACUGGACUCUGAAGAUGACUUCUGCUCAGGUUGUCGAAACGUCAGUCACCAACGACAGUCUUUCUCAAGACUACACUCACCUGGACGAUCACACCUCACAAAUAACUUCAACACCUAGGUUCAAACCAUUUACUCUUGGGGGAAACUCUGCUAGCAGGGAAGUAUAAAAUGAACGGUUUGUACCAAAUCUGCUUGCGACUGAGAACUGAUGGAUGUAACUUCAAAAUUCAAAAAAGAAUGUAUAACUAAUUUUGAGAAUAAUGAUGAUGAUAUAGGUUUGAACAGGUGAAUAAAAAGCAGACUCAAAUCAUCAUCAUUAUCUAGUUCUGAUUUGAUAUACUAAAGGCCAUGUUACACGUUGAAACUUUAAGCAGAAACGUGCUUGCAACAGCGUUAUGUUGUAAGGAGCAUUGAAGUUAUCAACAGCACAAUUUUCGAAAUUGUUGCGAAACAAGUGGUAACAAUCAACGACUGCGUCUCAGUUAUUCCAAGAAAUGUUGUAGAGCAAAUUAGGACUUCUGUCAGAAAGUUUCACGAAACUGAAGUAGAACUGCUUUCUACACUAGUUCAACCGCAUUUUGCGUCGCGAAUGAAGUUUCAGGGCGAAAUUGCACCUUGAAUCACCUUUCGUGAUUGUCUCUCAACGCCGUUGCACGCAAGUUUCACUGAGCUGAAAGUUUCGACGUAUACACAUGAACACGGCCGUUAUUACCUGAAGGAAAAGGGUAGAACCACAGAAAGAACGCCAAAGAGACCACCAUUAACUUGAGUACAAAGAAAGACCUUUUAUAAAAUCGCAUUUUGAACCUUUCGAUUAUGGCUGAAUCCUGAAUUACGUGAGUUCGUAUACACCGAAUUGAAAUAUUGGCGACCAAUUUGAAUAUUCCUUGUUCUGCACUAGCUACCCUUGUGUUCACGUGGAAACAUGAAAGCGUUUUCGCAUGAAUGAGAGGCUAGCCAGUUUCAAACUAUAUAUAGUUAUUGAAAUUGGUCGCCACAUUUCGAUUCGUUGUAUGGAUCAGAAAAUGUAGACAAACGAUAAAGAACUUUGUACAGACAUCAGUAGCACUGAAAUGAGUGAGACAAAUUUUAAUUCGCCCAGCUGAAUUAGCAUCCAUACUGGUGCUUGCUUUAUGCCACAGCAGGGGCCGAAAACCCAAUGAAGCAUACACUGGACAAUAUUUAUAGGAUUCAAAAUCUGAAAAAGCACUCCAAGGGUCUGAGGAGUGUUUCUGGACUCGGCAUUACAUAGUCACGUGUAUUUUUCAAAGAUUAAGAGUCCUCACGUGCUUGUUGUAUUUCAAAUAGUUUCAAGCGUCAAAGAAGGUUAACGGAAAAAAAAACGGAAAACUAUCUCGCUACUAUGACUUCAAGAACAGUUAUAAACGAACAAAGGUAAGUUUUGUCUUCCCAUUAUUCCAAAAUAUAGUUGAUACAACUUUUACGAUUUAAAAAAGCGAUAUAUUGAUCUCUAUGAGAAUAACGCACAAACUUUGAAAUUUAGACUUUGAUCUUCCCUUCGAGAACGCCGCGCUUAUUCUUUCAAAAAUGUUGGACCGUAUAGUGUGAUCGUCCCUUCGAUAUGCCACGCUAUUAAAGUUCUAUCAAAGGUGUUGGAUCUGAUCUUCUCUUCGAGAAUGCCGUGCUAACUUAGAGUUCUUACAAAAGUGUUGGAUCGCAUAGUGAUCUUCUCUUCGAGAAUGCCGC